rnacentral:tRNA from 1 species
GCUUAUAUAGUUUAUAAAAACAUUACAUUUUCAAUGUAAAAAUAAAAGAACUCUUUUUAUAAGUG